rfam:Mesitornis unicolor contig19569, whole genome shotgun sequence.
UGUUUUUGAUCCAUUAUUAAAGCCUCAAAAAACAAACAUAUUUUUAGAUGGCAUUCUGUACAGUCAGUGAUGUAUCUGUACUUGACGUCACUAUUCUUCAUAAAAUGUAAUAAUAAUGUUAUCUGUUAACAUAAAAGCAAAAUUUGACUCCACAAAAGCAGCUGGAAGUGGAUAACCACAAUAUGCUUGAAUUUCAUAGGAGCAGACUGUUUGACAUAUACUGCUAAAAGUUCUUCAUAUUUACGAAUUCUUUUAAGUGAAAUACCUGUGCUGAGUCUCAGCUGGUGUGCAUGAAGGAAUAUUCAUUUCCCAGUGGUAACAUGGAAUUUUGUUUUUUUACCUUUUCACAUAUAUUUAAUGGAUUUAAACACUUUGAAGAAAAAAAAGACACAUUUCUGGUC